rnacentral:rRNA from 1 species
AUUGAACGCUGGCGGCAGGCCUAACACAUGCAAGUCGAGCGGACGAAGGGAGCUUGCUCCUGGAUUCAGCGGCGGACGGGCGAGUAAUGCCUAGGAAUCUGCCUGGUAGUGGGGGAUAACGUCCGGAAACGGGCGCUAAUACCGCAUCCGUCCUGAGGGAGAAAGUGGGGGAUCUUCGGACCUCACGCUAUUUGAUGAGCCUAGGUCGGGUUAGCUAGUUGGUGGGGUAAAGGCGUACCAAGGCGACGAUCCGUAACUGGUCUGAGAGGAUGAUCAGUCACACGGGAACUGAGACACGGUCCAGACCCCUACGGGAGGCAGCAGUGGGGAAUAUUGGACAAGGGGCGAAAGCCUGAUCCAGCCAUGCCGGUUGUUUGAAGAAGGUCUUCGGAUUGUAAAGCACUUUAAGUGGGGAGAAAGAACAGUAAGUUAAUACCUUGCUGUUUUGACGUUACCAACAGAAUAAGCACCGGUAAAUUUCGU